CUGAUUAGAUCGAGCCAAAGGCUUGAAGAACUCAACAAAGAGAUUCUGCAGAUGGAAGAUAAGUUAGAAGAGAAAGGAAAAUCUGUUUUGCACUUGCAGCAGAAGUCCAAGAAAUUGGAAGACUCUUUGAUUAAUGCAAAGAAAACCUCAUCAUACAAUAAGACACAGUUGACCAAGCUUCACAAAUGUUUUCUGCAAGUAAAAGAUUAUACGGAAAGACUUAAAAGCAGUGAAAAACAACUUCAGGUUGG